UACGUAGGGGGCAAGCGUUGUCCGGAAUCAUUGGGCGUAAAGCGCGUGUAGGCGGCUUGGUAAGUCCGCUCUGAAAGCCCGGGGCUCAACCCCGGGAGGCGGGUGGAUACUGUCAAGCUCGAGUCCGGAAGAGGCGAGUGGAAUUCCCGGUGUAGCGGUGAAAUGCGCAGAUAUCGGGAGGAACACCAAUGGCGAAGGCGGCUCACUGGACCGGUACUGACGCUGAUGCGCGAAAGCGUGGGGAGCAAACGGG
rnacentral:rRNA from 1 species